rnacentral:snRNA from 1 species
GUGCGCGCCCCGGCAGCACGUGCACUCGCCCUGGAACGACGCAGAGAGGACAGGCAGGGCCCCUGCGCGGGGCCGGCACGCAGACUCGUGAAGCGUGCCGUAUUUUU